CCAAUCAGCACUCUGUAAAAUGGACCAAUCAGCAGGAUGCAGGCGGGGCCAAUAAGGGAAUAAAGGCUGGCCAUCGCGGCCAGCUUCCCCGUUCGGGUCCCCUCCCACAUUGUGGGAGAUUUGUUCUUUCCCCUUUUGCAAUAAAUCUUGCUGCUGCUCACUUUUUAGGUCCACACUACCUUUAUGAGCUGUAACACUCAUGGUGAAGGUUUGCAGCUUCACUCCUGAAGCCAGCCAGACCAGGAACCCACCAUGAGAAACAAACAACUCUGGAGCCGCCAUAAGACUCACUGUGGCUUUAAGAGCUAUAAGACUCACUGUGAAGGUCUGCGGCUUCACCCCUGAAGUCAGCCAGACCACGAACCCACCGGGAGGAACAAACAACUCCGGACGCACCACCUUUAAGAGCUGUAACGCUCACUGCAAAGGUCUGCGGCUUCACUCAUGAAGUCGUGCAUAGACCACGAACCCAGUAGAAGGAAGAAACUCCUGACACAUCUGAACAUCUGAAGGAACAAACUCUGGACACACCGUCUUUAAGAAGUGUAACACUGCGAGGGUCCGCGGCUUCAUUCUUGAAGUCAGCGGCACCAGGAACCCAUUGGAGGGAACCAAUUCCGGACACACAGCCUCGUGGAAUGGUUCUGCACAGUGUGUGUGUGUUUCCCGUCAACCCUGUGCACACUAUUAAAAGAACACAAGCGCUAAGCCUCCCUCUCAGACCUACUGAUGCAAGACAUUGUGAUUUUGACCUUGUUGGAUGCUGCACCUAAAGGUGGAUGGAAGAGGAAGAGUCUUGGGGGCUACCAUCCUGGCUGGAGAAGCUGGCACGAGGCUCCCUCUUGUGGAUGCAGCAAGUCUGAGGGCCAAGGGAAGAGAAGAGUGACAUAGAAUCUCCUUUCCUUGAGAUCUUAGAAUCACGCCUGCCUCCUUACCUCCAUCCAGGACUGUUAAAAAUCUCCCAAGGCAGAGACUUUUAGGCCUACAUGUACUUAGCCUCCUCUUCCCACCUCCUGUUCAUCUCUGUUUCCAAUGUUCCACUGCCAUCACUGCCAGGAAGUUCUGCAGAGAAGAAUGAAGAAGAACCGUAUGAUCCUAAACAUGUUCUUUGAAGAUAUUAUCAACCCACCAUUGGCCUUAUUUACUGGAAUGUUUUUAUAACCUUUAUUUGACACCUCUUCCCAUCAUUUAAAAUAAAUCUGGUGCUUCCCUGAAUAAUCUCUUGAGAUUUGUACAUGUCUCCCAGCAUCAUAUUUGUCCUUUUAACAAGCACACUCCUUCCACUGCUCAUGGCCAACUCAGGUUCACUACAAUCAGGGAAUCUAUGUCUUGCAACAAUCAGGUCUAUAUCAAACUUGAAUUUAUUUUCUUUUGUUUCUGAGAACUGUAAUUCCACUCCAAGGCCUAUACUGUACCCAACAGAGCUGCAUAUAUGUUUAACGAAAACAUGUCUUAGAAUAUUCACAAUACUUCUACUACUUAUGCCCUCAAACUGCAAACUACCCAAAUACCGGAGAAUAGAAUGGAUGAAUGAAUUGUAGUAAUAUUUAUUGAAUGCAAUAUAAUAAUGAUAAUGAAUUAACUGGAACUAUAUCCAAGAAGGAUGAAUCUCACAGACAUUAUGUUGGCUGAAAUGAGCCAAUCACAGAAGUGUACAUACUCUAUAACUGCUACAGAAAGUUCAAAGAACAGGCAAAACCAAUGCACAAUGUUAGAAGCUGGGAUUGCAUUUAUCCUGGGGUAGGGGAUGGGGUAUUGGCUGGAAGUAGGGGUGAGGAGGCCCUCUGCUGUUUUUGUUGUAUUCUCUUUAUCUGGGUGCUGGUUUUGAGGGUGUGUUCACUUUGUGAAAAUCCACUGAGCUGUAAACUUAUGUACAUUUCUAUAUGUGUGUUUUUAUAAAACUUACAGAAAACAAAGAAGAAAUAUAUUGCCGUAUAUUGAUUGGACUCUAUUCUGGGCUAUCUUGGAAACUGCAGCUUGAAGACAGCUAGGCCUCAGCAUAUGCCCUGACCUCCUGCAAUCUAAGCUCUGGAUCCUGGUCAACUUUGGGAGAAUAAUCAAGCCAAUUUUCAGAGAAGCAGUUUCUAUGUCUUUCAGGUCCUUGUGUCCUAAGGGAUUAGGAGCAUUAGGGACCUGGUCUCAGUGUGAUCCUGAGAGCUCAUCCAUUCUCUGGUCAUCCUUCAAGGAAAUGCCAGGCUCCUGAAUUCAUCUGCACAAACAGAGCUGGCCAGGCUACCUGCUGCCCACCAUCCCAUUGUCUUUCCUGCAUUGUUCUGGGACUCUGGCCACACUUACCUUCCAAAAUAACUGUGCAGUUGUCAUCAUUGUUCAGGAGACUAUUUUGGAACACUGGCUUAGCUUGGUGACGUGUAGAGAUCCAGGAAGGGCCUCAGCUGUCGGGAGGGAGGCCCAGGGCCAUCAGGGAGCUGGGGGUGGUAAGAAGUGACAGGGAUUGGGCUUCAGGAGGUGUGGAGGGGCCCAGGGGGAGCACCAUUUCUGACAAGUGUUCAGUCUUGGUGUGGAGAAUUGCAAAGAAAGAGGAGAAAGGAUUUGGGGGGAUUGGGUGCAGGUUGGAGGGAAGCUGGGAGGGGAGAAAAGAGUGAAGGAACAUUAGAUUGAUUAGUGCUGGAGGAAGAGGUAAGGAGAGACUUCGUUCACAGAGGAGGGGCUGGGAAGUGAGGGUAUGAGUUAAAGGGCACUAAUGGUAUGCUGACAUAUUGUUUCAAGAGUGGUUUCUGUAGCCUGGAGGACUUAAGGACAGCUGUUGGGAAUCUACGGGGUGAUAGAAAAGUAAGUGGGAGAAAGGGGAUGUGAUGAUUGAUGGGCAGCUUAGUGUCGAGUCAGGUGACAUCCUGCCAUGUUUAGCAAUGUAAUAAGUGGUCAGAUGACCUCACAAUCUUCAGGGCUGGGAGAUGGCAGAACCUUCUCACAGGGGUUGUGACAGAGGAGUUGGGUAGAUGUGUUCUCAGCAUAGAUGUGUUCUCAGUGGGCAAAGGUGGAAUUCCCUUCUCUUUUCUGUUUUCGCUUGACAACACAGGCCUGCAGAAACAGCAUACCAUGAGUUAAAACCCCUCAAUUGCAUGGGUUUUUGCACCCCCAUGAUUUGACAGGGUCUCUAGCUCUUUGAAAGUCUGCAACAAGACAGAAGAAAAGUCUGGGCUCCUGUGGGGGUGUUACAUGUGCUUGUGUACAAAUUAGCCCCCACAGGACUCUGCAGCUCCACGUUGCUCUGCUGGGCACUGGGGCCAUGUGCUCUGUUGGUCUAUGGGAACCUCUGUCUCCCUAGAGUUACAGUUUAAGAGAGGGGUUUCCAAAAAAGGUUGCUAAUGUCCCAGGAUUUUAUGGACUUUAAGUAAAACUUCUUUUUUUCUGUUGUACUCAGAAUGUUUUGAAGCUUUGUUCCUAGGUUACCUCACAGUGCCUGAAUUCUUUCCUUUCUUUUCUUAGACAUGGGGUCUUGCUCUCUCACCCACGCUGGAGCGUAGCAGCUAUUCACAGGUGUGAUCAUAGCACACCACAGCCUCCUGGGCUCAAGCAAUCCCCCUGCUUCAGCCUCCUGAGUAGCUGGGACCAUAAGCAGGAGCCCAUACCCAGCUUCAAUUCUUCUUUUCCUACAAUAAGUUCUGGUCCAGAAAAUUUUGCAACUCACCCCCGCCCUUCACUCCACAAAAAGACUUCCACUGGGAUUCCUGUCAAAAUGCCAGACUCACUUGAAUCCCUAGGAUGGAUCCAGCCUCGGUUUAAGUGCAGAUUCCUGCUUCAUCUCAGAGCCUGGCUGUUUUGAGGAGCAGGUGGUUUUACCCAUCCACCCACUCGCCCCUUGCUUCAUUGUCUAGGCCUGUCCUUUCUCACCUAGUGUCCUAAUCCCCUCCUCACUACCUCACAAUGGAGAAAGCUCUGUGUUGCUUUCUUUCAGGAUUUUCCUGCUUUUCAAAAGAGCUAGGGCACUAUGUGCUUUCAUGCAGGACCUAAGCAAAUAAGGACAUCUCAAGGAGAUGCCUAACUCUUAACCUGGUGCCCACCCCACCCUGGAGAGGACAGUUCUUGUUCAUAGUGUACAUGAUUGUUUAUGUCAAAGACCCAAUGAGUUUGCAAAGACCUCUUAGGACUAAUAAGUGAGUUUAACAAGUUUGCAGGAUAUAAGGUUAACACACACACACAAACAAAUCAAUUGUAUUUUUAUACAUCAGCAUAUUAGGGUUCUCUAGGAAAACAGAACCAAUAGGAUACACACACACACACGUAUAUAUGUGAGAGGUACACACACACGUGUGUGUGUGUGUUUAAAAAGAGCGAGGCAGAGAGAGAUUGGUUAGUUUUAAUGAAUUUGCUUGUGUGAUUGUAGGGGCUGGCAAAUUUGAAUUCUACAGAGCAGGCUGUCAUGGUGGAGACCCAAGGAAGAGCUGAUGUUGCAGCUCAUGCCUGGAGGCCGUCUGCUGGUAGAACUCCCUCUUUUCCAAGGAACCUCAGUCUCUCUUCUCAAGGCCUACAACUGAUUGGCAUCAUCUAGACUGGUGUUUGAGCCCAAACUGUCUACCAUGGCAUGGCCAAGUUGACACAUAAAAUUAACCUCAAGGCUGGGCGUGGUGGCUCACGCCUAUAAUCCCAGCACUUUGGGAGGCCGAGGCGGGUGGAUCACAAGGUCAGGAGAUUGAGACCAUCCUGGCAAACAUGGGGAAACCCCAUCUCUACUAAAAAUACAAAAAAAUUAGCUGGGAGUAGUGGCGGGCGCCUGUAGUCCCAGCUACUCAGGAGGCUGAGGCAGGAGAAUGGUGUGAACCCGGGAGGCGGAGCUUGCAGUGAGCUGAGAUCGUGCCACUGCACUCCAGCCUGGGUAACAGAGUGAGACUCCGUCUCAAAAAAAAAAAAAAAAAAUUAACCAUCACAACCAGAAAUGUGGAAUUGGAUAGGAAAAUUGAAAACCAGUACCACAUAGAAUACCAAAAAAUGAAAUAGAUAAACAUCUUACUGAAAGCUACAAAAUACCAGUGAAAAUACUCAAAGAAGAUAUAAACAAAUAACAAGAAACACCAUAUUUGAAGAUUGGAAGACUUAACUUUAAAAAGUUGCCAAUUCUGCCAAAACUGAUAUAGAGAUUUAAAACAAUUCCAGUCAAAAUCUCACCAGGACAUAUUGUUGCUAUAGACAAGCUGAUUCUAAUGUUUACAUGGAAAGUCCAAGGACUUGAAUAGCUAAAACAACUUUGAAAAAUAAGAAUAAUGGUGUAGGAAACAUGCUACCCAGUUUUAAAACAUACUACAAAGUUACAGUAAUCAGGACAGUAUGGUAUUGCCUGGGAACACAGAGCUCAAUGGAACAGAAUCGAGUCCAGAAAGAUAACUGCUUAAAUAUGGCCAUGUGAUUUUUGACAAGGGUGCAAGGGUAAUUCAGUAAAGGAUCAUAUUUUCAACAAAUGAUGUUAGAACAACUGAACAUUCACAUAAACAAAACAGACAAACAAGAAAACUGAAACCUUACAGCUUGUAUACAAAUGAACUCAAUAUUGAUGAGAUGUAAAAGUGAAGCUCUAAAAAGUUCAGAAAAGAACAUAGUAGAAAAUCUCUUCCUGGGAUUAGGAAAAGAGUUCUUAGACACGGUACUAUAAGCACGAUCCGAAAAAGUUGAUAAAUAGGUCUUUAUUGAAAUUAAAAGACUUAAGAUGCUAUUAAAAGAAUGAAAACAGUAUAGCCCAGGAGAAAAACUUUGCAAGUCACAUAUGUCACAAGACUUUGCAGAAUAUAUAAAUGGCAAAUAAAACACAAAAAGAUGUUCAAUAUCAUUAAGCAUUAGAGACUUGUAAACAAACCAAAUACACCUAUUAGAAUUGCUGAAAAAAGGAAAACCUUUGGUAAUACCAAGAACUGUUGAGAGCAAUUACAUUUUUUUUUUAUUAUUAUUAUACUUUAAGUUCUGGGGUACAAGUGCAGAACGUGCAGUUUUGUUACAUAGGGAUACAUGUGCCAUGGUGGUUUACUGCACCCAUCAACCCAUCACCUACAUUAGGUAUUUAUCCUAAUGUUAUCCCUCCCCUAGCCCCCUACCCCCCGACAGGCUCUGGUGUGUGAUGUACCCCUUCCUAUGUCCAUGUGUUCUCAUUGUUCAACUCCCAC
rnacentral:lncRNA from 10 species